CGUCAAGUCAUCAUGACCCUUAUGUCCAGGGCUACACACGUGCUACAAUGGGUGGUACAGAGUGACGCGAAGCUGUGAAGUUAGAGCGAAGCACGAAAGCCAUCCGUAGUUCGGAUUGAAGUCUGAAACCCGACUUCAUGAAGUUGGAAUCGCUAGUAAUCGCGCAUCAGCAUGGCGCGGUGAAUACGUUCCCGGGCCUU
rnacentral:rRNA from 1 species